UACGUAGGGUCCGAGCGUUUGUCCGGAAUUAUUGGGCGUAAAGGGCUCGUAGGCGGUUUGUCGCGUCGGGAGUGAAAACCUCGGGCUUAACUCGGGGCUUGCUUUCGAUACGGGCAGACUGGAGGUAUGCAGGGGAGAACGGAAUUCCUGGUGUAGCGGUGAAAUGACGCAGAUAUCAGGAGGAACACCGGUGGCGAAGGCGGUUCUCUGGGCAUGACCUGACGGUGAGGAGCGAAAGUGUGGGGAGCGAACAGG
rnacentral:rRNA from 1 species